GAGCUUGCUCUUCUGGAUGAGUUGCGAACGGGUGAGUAACGCGUAGGUGACCUGCCUGGUAGCGGGGGAUAACUAUUGGAAACGAUAGCUAAUACCGCAUAACAGCAAAUGUUGCAUGACAUUUGCUUAAAAGGUGCAAUUGCAUCACUACCAGAUGGACCUGCGUUGUAUUAGCUAGUUGGUGGGGUAACGGCUCACCAAGGCGACGAUACAUAGCCGACCUGAGAGGGUGAUCGGCCACACUGGGACUGAGACACGGCCCAGACUCCUACGGGAGGCAGCAGUAGGGAAUCUUCGGCAAUGGACGGAAGUCUGACCGAGCAACGCCGCGUGAGUGAAGAAGGUUUUCGGAUCGUAAAGCUCUGUUGUAAGAGAAGAACGAGUGUGAGAGUGGAAAGUUCACACUGUGACGGUAUCUUACCAGAAAGGGACGGCUAACUACGUGCCAGCCAGCCGCGGUAAUACGUAGGUCCCGAGCGUUGUCCGGAUUUAUUGGGCGUAAAGCGAGCGCAGGCGGUUAGAUAAGUCUGACAGUUAAGGCUGUGGCUUAACCAUAGUACGCUUUGGAAACUGUUUAACUUGAGUGCAGAGGGGAGAGUGGAUUCCAUGUGUAGCGGUGAAAUGCGUAGAUAUAUGGAGGAACACCGGUGGCGAAAGCGGCUCUCUGGCUUGUAACUGACGUUGAGGCUCGAAAGCGUGGGGAGCAAACAGGAUUAGAUAUCCUGGUAGUCCACGCCGUAAACGAUGA
rnacentral:rRNA from 1 species